CGCGCGCGCAGGCGGCACCGUGUCGCUUCAGCUGCACUCACACAGCCGCAACACGAGCACAUCGGAAAAGUGCAUCUCUAGCCUACAGCAUCGCCAAAUCCAUCCGAUCACUACAAUCACAACAGUGCCGCGUUUCACCGAGAGGACACACAUAACCGGCGACGUCGUGGACCGAAAUCGGAGACCUGGCUCCUUAAAAGCUCUUCGUAUGAUCCGGACUGCUGUGCCCCAUUCACUGGGCUUUCUUUUAGGUGAUCGGGAAAUAUUCGGUACGUUUUCUUCAAACUUCAGCCGACAAAGACUGCACACAAGCCGGAGCGCGGUUGGGCGCGGGGAAGCAUGGAAUAGACAGAAGUGAACGGUUAAGAGAACCCCUGCUUCCUUGUCUAGUUUAAAGACGCAGUAAUCAGCAGCUCGGUCGGGUCAGAAAUCUUCAAGCAAGACUCGUGUGGACGGAUAAGGACCGCAAGAUGUCCAUUCCGAGAGCAUACUCUGCUCUGAUUGGUCAGAUGUCCCAGUCUGUUGUGAUUGGUCCACCGCUGUUAGCGAGCAGCCGAUGAAGACCAG
ensembl:lncRNA